UACGUAGGGUGCAAGCGUUAAUCGGAAUUACUGGGCGUAAAGCGUGCGCAGGCGGUUGUGCAAGACAGAUGUGAAAUCCCCGGGCUCAACCCGGAAAGGUCAACUGAUACUGUGCGACUAGAGUGCGGAAGGGGCAACUGGAAUUCUCGGUGUAGCGGUGAAAUGCGUAGAUAUCGAGAGGAACACCUGCGGCGAAGGCGGGUUGCUGGGCCGACACUGACGCUGAUGCGCGAAAGCCAGGGGAGCGAACGGG
rnacentral:rRNA from 1 species